rnacentral:tRNA from 1 species
GUUAUCAUAGCUUAUUUAAAGCAUAGCACUGAAAAUGUUAAGACGGAUUACACACCUGUUAACA